GUGGCAUGGAUAUUCAUUUUGUACUUUUCUUAAUGCUUAUGUCCUAAACAUAUGCAUGUAAGAUGUAGCAUAUAUUCUUUUUUUUCUUUUUUAAGAAGACAAGGGAGGCCUAGCCACCAGAAUUUUAUUCAAAUGAAGUAUUGAGAAAGUUAGAUAUGAAAGGAGAAUGGAAACAGGAAGAUGUAGCGCAUGCAAUUAGAGCUAACUAGCAAUUUAUUUUCAAUUUGCGCGGGAUAAGCCAAUGUGAAAUAGAUGGGACAAGGCUCAUGGUUUAGACUUAUCAUUGCGAUGGUG
rnacentral:lncRNA from 1 species